AGAGUUUGAUCAUGGCUCAGAAUCAACGCUGGCGGCGUGCCUCAGACAUGCAAGUCGAACGCGAAAGCUCCCUUCGGGGAGCAAGUAGAGUGGCGCACGGGUGAGUAACACGUAGGUAAUCUACCUUUGGAUGGGGAAUAACAACCGGAAACGGUUGCUAAUACCGCAUAAUGCAGCGGCACCUAAUGGUGACAAUUGUUAAAGCGGGGGAUCGCAAGACCUCGCGUCUGAAGAGGAGCCUGCGGCGGAUUAGCUAGUUGGUAAGGUAACGGCUUACCAAGGCGAUGAUCCGUAGCCGGCCUGAGAGGGCGGUCGGCCACACUGACACUGACAUACGGGUCAGACUCCUACGGGAGGCAGCAGUCGGGAAUUUUGGGCAAUGGGCGAAAGCCUGACCCAGCAACGCCGCGUGAAGGAUGAAAUCCUUCGGGAUGUAAACUUCGCAAGAACGGGAAGAAUAAGUGAGGGUUAAUAUCUCUUACGAUGACGGUACCGUUUGUAAGCUCCGGCUAACUCCGUGCCAGCAGCCGCGGUAAUACGGGGGGAGCAAGCGUUGUUCGGAUUUACUGGGCGUAAAGGGCGCGUAGGCGGCCACCGCAAGUCGACUGUGAAAUCUCUGGGCUUAACCCAGAACGGCCAGCCGAUACUGCGGGGCUAGAGUGCAGAAGGGGCAACUGGAAUUCUCGGUGUAGCGGUGAAAUGCGUAGAUAUCGAGAGGAACACCUGCGGCGAAGGCGGGUUGCUGGGCUGACACUGACGCUGAGGCGCGAAAGCUAGGGGAGCGAACGGGAUUAGAUACCCCCGUAGUCC
rnacentral:rRNA from 1 species